rnacentral:rRNA from 1 species
GCCUGAGAAACGGCUACCACAUCUAAGGAAGGCAGCAGGCGCGCAAAUUACCCAAUCCUAAUACAGGGAGGUAGUGACAAGAAAUAACAAUACAGGACUUUUUGGUUUUGUAAUUGGAAUGAGUUAAGUAUAAACCCCUUUACAAGUAUCAAUUGGAGGGCAAGUCUGGUGCCAGCAGCCGCGGUAAUUCCAGCUCCAAUAGCGUAUAUUAAAGUUGUUGCAGUUAAAAAGCUCGUAGUUGGAUUUCUGUUAAUAAUUUAUAUAAAAUAUUUUGAUGAAUAUUUAUAUAAUAUUAACAUAAUUCAUAUUACUAUAUAUUUUAGUAUAUGAAAUUUUACUUUGAGAAAAUUAGAGUGCUUAAAGCAGGCAUAUGCCUUGAAUACUCCAGCAUGGAAUAAUAUUAAAGAUUUUUAUCUUUCUUAUUGGUUCUAAGAUAAGAAUAAUGAUUAAUAGGGACAGUUGGGGGCAU